rnacentral:sRNA from 12 species
GUAAAAAUAAGCAAAUUAGCGAAUAUGCUCGUUGAAACGAGAGCUGUUAGAUAACAGCUA